GUAGUCUCGCACAGAUGCAUAUCAAUAAGCGGAGGAAAAGAAACUAACAAGGAUUCCCCUAGUAACGGCGAGUGAAGCGGGAAGAGCUCAAAUCUGAAAUCUUAAAGGGUUUCCCUUUACGAAUUGUAGUUUAAAGAAGUGUUUUCUGUUGAGGUUUUGGUAAAAGUUCUUUGGAAUAGGACAUCAUAGAGGGUGAGAAUCCCGUAUUUGACCUUUACUUUCAACUUUGUGAUACACUUUCAAAGAGUCGGAUUGUUUGGGAAUGCAGUCCAAAAUGGGUGGUAAAUUUCAUCUAAAGCUAAAUAUUGGCGAGAGACCGAUAGCGAACAAGUACCGUGAGGGAAAGAUGAAAAGAACUUUGAAAAGAGAGUUAAACAGUACGUGAAAUUGUCAAAAGGGAAGCGUUUGACACCAGUGUUGUUUUUCUGAAAAUCAAUUAAAGAACUGUUUAUGCUAAGCUGUUUAGACUUUAUCAGCUAACUGUUUAGUUUUGAGCUUUUCUUUAAUGCACUUUUCAGUUAACAAGUCAACAUCAAUUUCUUUUGCUGUAAAAAAGCUUGAGGAAGGUGGCUUGAGAUUCGUCUUAAGUGUUUAUAGCCUCUUGCCUAUGCAGUCGGAGAGAUUGAGGUCUGCAGCGUAGAUCCUUCGGGGCUAAAUGCAUUUGUGCUAAGUUAUAGCAUUUUAUAGACAACUUGUUGACUAUGAUUUGUCUUGUAGCUUACUCGCUUAUGUUAUUUUACCUACGCUUAGGAUGUUGACGCGCGUGUGUGCGUG
rnacentral:rRNA from 1 species